CUGCCCUGCACUCUGGGACAAGCCCUGGAAACGGGGUCUAAUACCGGAUACGACCGCUUCAGGCAUCUGACGGCGGUGGAAAGCUCCGGCGGUGCAGGAUGAGCCCGCGGCCUAUCAGCUUGUUGGUGAGGUAACGGCUCACCAAGGCGACGACGGGUAGCCGGCCUGAGAGGGCGACCGGCCACACUGGGACUGAGACACGGCCCAGACUCCUACGGGAGGCAGCAGUGGGGAAUAUUGCACAAUGGGCGCAAGCCUGAUGCAGCGACGCCGCGUGAGGGAUGACGGCCUUCGGGUUGUAAACCUCUUUCAGCAGGGAAGAAGCGCAAGUGACGGUACCUGCAGAAGAAGCGCCGGCUAACUACGUGCCAGCAGCCGCGGUAAUACGUAGGGCGCAAGCGUUGUCCGGAAUUAUUGGGCGUAAAGAGCUCGUAGGCGGCCUGUCGCGUCGGUUGUGAAAGCCCGGGGCUCAACCCCGGGUCUGCAGUCGAUACGGGCAGGCUAGAGUUCGGUAGGGGAGAUCGGAAUUCCUGGUGUAGCGGUGAAAUGCGCAGAUAUCAGGAGGAACACCGGUGGCGAAGGCGGAUCU
rnacentral:rRNA from 1 species